rnacentral:rRNA from 1 species
AUUGAACGCUGGCGGCAUGCCUUACACAUGCAAGUCGAACGGCAGCACGGGUGCUUGCACCUGGUGGCGAGUGGCGAACGGGUGAGUAAUACAUCGGAACGUACCUUAUCGUGGGGGAUAACGCAGCGAAAGCUGGGCUAAUACCGCAUACGCCCUGAGGGGGAAAGCGGGGGAUCGAAAGACCUCGCGCGAUUAGAGCGGCCGAUGCCUGAUUAGCUUGUUGGUGGGGUAAAAGCCCACCAAGGCGACGAUCAGUAGCUGGUCUGAGAGGACGACCCGCCACACUGUGACUGAGACACGGCCCAGACUCCUACGGGAGGCAGCAGUGGGGCAUUUUGGACAAUGGGGGCAACCCUGAUCCAGCAAUGCCGCGUGAGUGAAGAAGGCCUUCGGGUUGUAAAGCUCUUUUGUCAGGGAAGAAACACCGGCUCUAACACAGUCCGGGAAUGACGGUACCUGAAGAAUAAGCACCGGCUAACUACGUGCCAGCCGCCGCCGUAA